GAUUAGGGUUUGAUUAUGGCUCAGGAUGAACGCUAGCGGCAGGCCUAACACAUGCAAGUCGAACGGUAACAGGAAAUAGCUUGCUAUUUUGCUGACGAGUGGCGCACGGGUGCGUAACGCGUAUACAAUCUACCUUUUGCUGAGGGAUAGCCCAGAGAAAUUUGGAUUAAUACCUCAUGGUAUUAUUGAUAGGCAUCUAUUAAUAAUUAAAGGUUACGGCAAAAGAUGAGUAUGCGUCCCAUUAGCUAGUUGGUGAAGUAACGGUUCACCAAGGCAACGAUGGGUAGGGGUCCUGAGAGGGAGAUCCCCCACACUGGUACUGAGACACGGACCAGACUCCUACGGGAGGCAGCAGUGAGGAAUAUUGGACAAUGGGCGAGAGCCUGAUCCAGCCAUGCCGCGUGCAGGAAGACUGCCCUAUGGGUUGUAAACUGCUUUUAUACAGGAAGAAUAAGCCUUACGUGUAAGGUGAUGACGGUACUGUAAGAAUAAGGACCGGCUAACUCCGUGC
rnacentral:rRNA from 1 species